AUAAUAGUUAUAAUUAUGUCUUGGCAGUAUAAUUAUUAUGCUAACAAACAAAUAUGGUUUUCAAACCAACGGUCAGAAUUUCAGAAAGUAAUCAACCUGGUCAUAAUGGCUUGACUGUAAUUUUGUGUUGUGUUUGCAUUAGUAGAGGGCGUGGAGACUGUUUCCUGCUUGCUUCACGGAAGAUAACUAGUGUAUGAUGGAUAGUGACACUAUUAUUGUUAAUUCAUUUUUUAUAUGAAAAUGAUACACCACAUUUGACUAUAAUGUAUUACUAAGAAAAGGAGCGUUUACUAGUAUCUGCUGAGAAAGACCCUUAUGAUUGAUUUAUAUUAUAAAACAUGUCGGUAUAUGAAACACGUUUUGGAUCUGAAAGCCUUGUACUAUAUAAAUUCAAUUAAGGAGUGUUCUUUCUAUCUCUCACCUUGAAGAAACACACUCAGUCAUUCUUCGAGUUCUCAAGAAAUUAAUUAAGAUGGUGAGAACACCUUCUUAUGACAAGAGUGGAUUGAGGAAAGGGAUUUGGACGGUUGAGGAAGAUCUGAAAUUAAUUGCUUAUGUAACUAAAUAUGGUUGUUGGAAUUGGUGUCAACUCCCUAAGUUUGCAGGUCUUUCGAGAUGUGAAAAAAGUUGUAGAUUGAGGUGGAUGAAUUAUUUAAGGCCUAAUAUCAAAAGAGGGAACUUCACUCAACAAGAAGAGGAAUUGAUUAUUCGAAUGCAUAACCAGCUGGGCAAUAGAUGGUCAGUCAUUGCGGCUGAGUUACCUGGAAGAACUGAUAACGAAGUGAAGAACCAUUGGCAUACUUUACAUAAGAGGAGAGUUCAACAGAUGAACACAGUCUCAAAUGAAGAAACUAUAGCCACCAGAUCUCCAACUAGUUCCCAGAUGUCAGACAUCACUAGCCAAUUACCUUCAUUUUUAUCAUCUAGUGAAUUCUCUUCCAUAGCUGAAGAUGAUUUUGGUUUUCUAGAUUCAUAUAUAGAAUCAAUGGAUGAAAGUUUUUGACUUGAUAAUGACUUUAGUAAAUUCCUAGACGCGUACACAAAAUCAACCGUUGAUAGUUUUUGGCGGCGCAUAUGAAGUUGCGGGUGUUGCGGAUGCGGCUAAUACAGUUGCUGCGAUGCGAAUUGCGGUCAUUGCGGUGUGAAAUACUUUUAUACUCGCACCAAACACAAAUUUAUAUAAAAAUGAAUAGGACUUCUUGUUGCAGUAGUGAUGUGGUCCGAUGCAGCUAGGCAUGAUAACAUAACCGGUACUCGCGGGUACCCACACGAAUCUGCCCCGAAGUUGACGGGAAAAAUCCGUUUUGAUUGGGUUUGGGUUCGAGUUUGGAUUUUCCCCGAUUAUAAAAUAUGGGAAUGAGUCGGGUAAUGGGGACACUAGUACCCAUCCCGCCCCCGUCCUGUUUAUUUCAUUAUGUACAAUAUUAUUUAUUUUUGAUAAUUUAGAAUAUUAAAUAUGUGGUCAAUGUUUUGAUAUUUUAAUUUGAAUUUAUUAUUUAAAAUAUUUGAAAGGUAUGUAUGAAAUUGUUUAGAUGGUUUUAUUUUA